rnacentral:lncRNA from 1 species
AGUCGCCUCUUGUGUGAGUAAGUGCAAUGUAGAUAAUCGCAUUUGGUUGUAAUGAUCUUAAGUAAAUAAAGGCAUAUGAUACUAUAUUAGCUUGGAUGUCCGAUUCUCGGUUUAGUAAUAUUUUAACUUUAAUUAGUUUUCAAAUAGACAGUUCAUAGGUUGAGGUUUGAUGGAAGUUUAACUCCUUCGUAACUAAAAUCUCUAUAUGAGCGAGCAUAAUGCCUAAUUCAACAGAGCAAAAACUAAGACUAUAAAAAAUAAUACAGCUGAUAUUUUUUUACGAGAUUGAUGAUUUAUUUACCAAUAUUUGUUAUUUUAUUCAACACGAACC